UGUGGGAGCGAGCUUGCUCGCGAUAGCGUCGGAUCAGUCAGCUUCUCUGUAACUGACACUCCGCCAUCGCGAGCAAGCUCGCUCCACAG
rnacentral:misc_RNA from 1 species